UCAGCAACCAGACUUACAUGUUGGGAAAACGAUACCCAAACAAUGAUUUCACCAUAUUAUCGCAGCAAGUACCAGUAAUAAUCUGCUUUAUGUGCGCCUAAAGGAAAAUGAUGCAUAUGUUCAACAGUGAGGCCUGAAAGUUAGUCUUCCUUCCAGUUUUUCUUCUAGUUUUUGAGGUGAAUGAUCUUACUGUGACUAAGGGAAUAAACCACCAAUCAGCCUGCUCCUUUCAGUAGGGGAUGAAUGCAUCCUCAAACCCAGCAAGGUGAACAGAAGUCUUGGGACAUUCUAAUGUGUCCUUCAGCACACUGAUGUCCCAAUUGGCUGUAGUACAGUGUGGAGGCAUG